rnacentral:rRNA from 1 species
UAGUGAACCUGCGGAAGGAUCAUUACCGAGUGUAGGGUUCCUAGCGAGCCCAACCUCCCACCCGUGUUUACUGUACCUUAGUUGCUUCGGCGGGCCCGCCAUUCAUGGCCGCCGGGGGCUCUCAGCCCCGGGCCCGCGCCCGCCGGAGACACCACGAACUCUGUCUGAUCUAGUGAAGUCUGAGUUGAUUGUAUCGCAAUCAGUUAAAACUUUCAACAAUGGAUCUCUUGGUUCCGGCAUCGAUGAAGAACGCAGCGAAAUGCGAUAACUAGUGUGAAUUGCAGAAUUCCGUGAAUCAUCGAGUCUUUGAACGCACAUUGCGCCCCCUGGUAUUCCGGGGGGCAUGCCUGUCCGAGCGUCAUUGCUGCCCAUCAAGCACGGCUUGUGUGUUGGGUCGUCGUCCCCUCUCCGGGGGGGACGGGCCCCAAAGGCAGCGGCGGCACCGCGUCCGAUCCUCGAGCGUAUGGGGCUUUGUCACCCGCUCUGUAGGCCCGGCCGGCGCUUGCCGAACGCAAAUCAAUCUUUUCCAGUGACCUCGAUCAGUAGGAUACC